rnacentral:tRNA from 1 species
GCGGGUGUGGCGGAAUUGGUAGACGCGCUAGAUUUAGGAUCUAGUGCCGCAAGGUGUGAGAGUUCGAGUCUCUCCACCCGUAC